GACGAACGCUGGCGGCGUGCCUAAUACAUGCAAGUCGAGCGGAUCUUCAUUAGCUUGCUUUUGAAGAUCAGCGGCGGACGGGUGUGUAACACGUGGGCAACCUGCCUGUAAGACUGGGAUAACUUCGGGAAACCGGAGCUAAUACCGGAUAAUCCUUUUCCUCUCAUGAGGAAAAGCUGAAAGACGGUUUCGGCUGUCACUUACGGAUGGGCCCGCGGCGCAUUAGCUAGUUGGUGAGGCAACGGCUCACCAAGGCGACGAGGCGUAGCCGACCUGGGAGGGUGAUCGGCCACACUGGGACUGAGACACGGCCCAGACUCCUACGGGAGGCAGCAGUAGGGAAUCUUCCGCAAUGGACGAAAGUCUGACGGAGCAACGCCGCGUGAGCGAUGAAGGCCUUCGGGUCGUAAAGCUCUGUUGUCAGGGAAGAACGAGUAUCGGAGUAACUGCCGGUACCUUGACGGUACCUGACCAGAAAGCCACGGCUAACUACGUGCCAGCCGCCGCCGUAAAAC
rnacentral:rRNA from 1 species